AGUUUUGUAUUCAAUAAUGAUUUUAAAUUGCAAAUUUAAAGGUGAUUGUCAAAAUCCAAAACUU
rnacentral:tRNA from 1 species